AGGGAAUAUUGCACAAUGAGCGAAGCUUGAUGCAGCAACGCCGCGUGCGCGAUGACGGCCUUCGGGUUGUAAAGCGCUUUUCGGGGAGAUGAGGAAGGACAGUAUCCCCGGAAUAAGUCUCGGCUAACUACGUGCCAGCAGCCGCGGUAACACGUAGGAGGCAAGCGUUAUCCGAAUUUACUGGGCGUAAAGCGCGUGCAGGCGGUUCGGUAAGUUGGAUGUGAAAUCUCCCGGCUCAACUGGGAGGGGACGUUCAAUACUGUCGGACUUGAGGACGAUAGAGGGAGGUGGAAUUCCCGGUGUAGUGGUGAAAUGCGUAGAUAUCGGGAGGAACACCAGUGGCGAAAGCGGCCUCCUGGAUCGUUCCUGACGCUCAGACGCGAAAGCUAGGGGAGCGAACGG
rnacentral:rRNA from 1 species